GGAAAUAACCAAAGGCGGUCAGGAGGGAACUGCUGUCGAACUUCUCCGAGAUGUUGAGUCGUGAGUGCCAUGUAAGAGUGACGACCAAAGUCCUAUUUCCGAUCAGAAACGAACGGCCCAAGACUUGAAACCCAAUAGAUCUUCAGUAGAUAGCUCCUGACCGUGACUGGACGAACUUUGCUACUCUUCAACACGUCAUCAUCAAUCACCAUUAUUCCCUUGAUUACCCGCAUGUACAAGGUUCCGAGAUGUUGGACUUGCAGCCUGUUCAGUCCAUCUAUCAAAGAUGCUGUGGCGGCACUCAAAAAUAGGUUUGGUGCUGACAAAAACGGUAGUGAUAGUAGUAGCAGCAGCAGCCGCAGUAGCCUAUCACCAGAUAAGAAGAUCAACAAAAUGGUCUAAAACCCCCAAACAGAGAAUGGAGAAAAGCCGCAUAACUUAUUUGAAAAUUAAGAAAAAAAGAAAAAGCGAUGAUCCCCCCCCCCCAAUACUUGUAGUAGAUAAGCUGCACGUAGCUUUCAGAACCAUUUAGAAACGUCUCGAAGAAGUCUUAAUUGUUAUAAAUUAACUGUUGUACGAGUCAGUCCUUUACAUGUUUUCGUGAUAUUCAUAGGCCUAAUAUUAAUAUAUGUUAUACAAAUCAGUUCUUCAUUUCGGUAACAGUACAAUUUCAGUUUUAGAAUACUAAAGUAUCGUUCCGAUUUAGGCCUACAAUUUCGGUGUUUUGUAAAAGCUACAACAGUGGAAAUAAACGUUUUCACUUAAAAAGCUUGGUGUUUACAAAUCGUUUUCUUCACGUAACAAAAGCCAGCGAGAACAAUACUCCAAUUUAGUUCAAAAUCAGGCUUAAGAUUUCGGUGUUCUGUAAAAGCUACGGCAUUGGAAGUAAAUAUUUUCACAUUAAAAGUCUGUUGUUCACGAGUCGUUUUAUUCACGAAA
rnacentral:misc_RNA from 1 species